rnacentral:tRNA from 1 species
GCCCCCGUAGGCUAGCGGUCCAAGCCGCCUCCCUUUCAAGGAGGAGAUCUCGCGGGUUCGAAUCCCGUCGGGGGUA